rnacentral:rRNA from 1 species
UACAGAGGUCCCGAGCGUUGUUCGGAUUUACUGGGCGUAAAGGGUGCGUAGGCGGUGGGGUACGUUUGAGGUGAAAGCUCCGGGCUCAACCCGGAAACUGCCUUGAAAACUAUCCGGCUAGAGGGUUGGAGGGGAGACUGGAAUUCUCGGUGUAGCAGUGAAAUGCGUAGAUCUCGAGAGGAACACCAGUGGCGAAGGCGGGUCUCUGGACAACACCUGACGCUGAGGCACGAAAGCCAGGGGAGCAAACGGG